rnacentral:rRNA from 1 species
UACGGAGGAUCCAAGCGUUAUCCGGAAUCAUUGGGUUUAAAGGGUCCGUAGGCGGUCUUAUAAGUCAGUGGUGAAAGCCCAUCGCUCAACGAUGGAACUGCCAUUGAUACUGUAAGACUUGAAUUUUUGUGAAGUAACUAGAAUAUGUAGUGUAGCGGUGAAAUGCUUAGAUAUUACAUGGAAUACCAAUUGCGAAGGCAGGUUACUAACAAACGAUUGACGCUGAUGGACGAAGGGGUGGGGAGCGAACAGGAUUAGAUGCCCUGGUAGUCCACGCCGUAAACGAUGGAUACUAGCUGUUCGGAGCAAUCUGAGUGGCUAAGCGAAAGUGAUAAGUAUCCCACCUGGGGAGUACGCACGCAAGUGUG